rnacentral:rRNA from 1 species
CGAGUGGCGAACGGGUGAGUACAACAUCGGAACGUGUCCGUUUGAGGGGGACAACUGCUCGAAAGGGUAGCUAAUACCGCAUAAGACCUGAGGGUGAAAGUGGGGGAUCGCAAGACCUCACGCGAACGGAGCGGCCGAUGACUGAUUAGGUAGUUGGUGAGG